UUCAGUUGUCUUUCGGUGUUA
rnacentral:piRNA from 1 species